rnacentral:tRNA from 1 species
GGUAGCUCAGUGGUAGAGUGCUUGCCUUGCAUGCAUGAGUCCCUGGGUUUGAUUCCUCAGGACCA